AUGCUGCAGCGGGCGGCGAGCAAUGCGUACUCAUGGUGGUGGGCGAGCCACAUCCGCACCAAGCAGUCCAAAUGGCUCGACAAUCACCUCCAAGAUAUGGAGCACCUGGUCAAGUGCAUGCUCUUACUCCUUGGAGAGGAAGCCGAUUCCUUUUCAAAGCGAGCAGAGAUGUACUACAAGAGGCGGCCUGAGGUGAUCACUCAGGUGGAAGAAGUGUACCGGAUGUACAGGGGUCUCGCCGAUCGGUAUGACAUCAUGUCAGGGGAGCUGCACAAGGCAAACCACACCAUCGCUACCGCCUUCCCUGACCAGGUUCAGUAUGCGAUGCUAGAAGAGGAGGAUGACAACGUCCCAAAGGCGUUCACCCCGGUCGAUCCGCGCAAGAUCCACAAGUCGACCGUCGAUGGGCUGCUGAAGAAGAAGAAAGGAGAUGUGCCAGGAGCCGGCGGAGACAAGAAGGAACAAGCUCCGAUGAGCAAGGAGAAUGCACGAGAAGAGAUUAGCAGGCUACAGAAAGCUAUACUUGUGAUGCAGACCGAGAAAGAGUUCAUCAAGAACUCGUACGAGAGUGGCAUUGCCAAGUACUGGGAUCUUGAGAAGGAAAUCAAUGAGAUGCAGGCAAAAGCUUGCCACUUCCAAGACAAGUUCGACGUAAGCGCAGUGAUCGAGGACGAUGAAGCCAGAGCCUUGAUGACAGCGACGGCCCUCAAAUCCUGUGAAGACACCAUUGUCAGAUUGCAAGAACAGCGGAAGACGGCUGCUAAGCAGGCAUUGGACGAAUCUGAACGGGUCAAGGUGUUGAGAGAGAAGCUCAAGCCUAUAAUGGACGAACAUGGCAAGUCUCUACCGGACCUGGUGGAGAAAAACAUACGGAAGAAUCAUGUCACGGAGAUGGGAGACGUGUACCAUGUGAAGCUGGGUGAGCUGCAGAUGCAAACGUUAGUCGACAAGAUCAAGGAAAACUUCACGAGCGACUGCAACAUCACCAUGGACGAGAUCACAGAGCAGAUCGACGAGCUUGUCAACAAAGUUGUCGAUUUGGAGCUUAUGGUUUCGUCGCAGACCUCGCAGAUCGACAGAAUGCACCGCGAAAAUGAGGAGCUGGAGAAUUCCGUCAAGAGCCUGGAGGAAGAGAAAGGCUCGAGCGAACUGGACGAGAAGCUGAAGCAGGUGGAAGAAGAGCUGGUCAGAGUGCAGGCUCUCGAAAGCUCCUUCCAUAAAGACGAGAGCACGAUACGUUCAAACUUCACCGAAACGAUAAGCAGAUUCAGUAAUUUCGCCGACAUGUUGCAGUCGCCAGUUUGCGACUACCAGGCUCCUGGUUCUACUGCUCACACGUCGGCGCCAACCGGUGAGGAAGCACCGCCUCCUACCGAGCCAUCCAGCAAGAGCCAUCCACCUCCACCUGAGGAAGAAGAAGACAAACAACAGGUAGAAGAAGAGAAGGCCGCCGUCGUGCAGACUCCUCAACCCCAACAAGCCAGCACUGAAGAUGCUGCUGCUGCUGCUCCUCAACCCCAACAAGCCAGCACUGGAGAUGCUGCUGCUGCUGCUGUUCCUCAACCCCAACAAGGCAGCACUGGAGAUGCUGUUGCUGUUCCUCAAUCCCAACAAGCCAGCACUGGAGAUGCUGCUGCUGCUGCUCCUCAACCCCAACAAGCCAGCACUGGAGAUGCUGCUGCUGUUCCUCAAUCCCAACAAGCCAGCACUGGAGAUGCUGCUGCUGCUGCUCCUCAACCCCAACAAGCCAGCACUGGAGAUGCUGCUGCUGCUGCUGCUGCUGCUCCUCAACCUCAACAACCCAGCACUGGAGAUGCUGCUGCUGCUGCACCCGUUGAUGUGGUGAAAACAGGGGCGGCAGCGAGCGCUACUGGUGCGUCUGUCGUAGAUGGCACUAAAAAUUCAGAUCAUGGGCAUGAGAAGAUUUCGCGGCCGGGUUCGCUGGCACGGCUUCGCCACAUCUCUUCUGACGCUGAAGAAUCUGAGGAGCAAAAGGAGAAGGGCUGUGUUGACGGUGACAUGAAGAAACUGCAAGAGCGGCUCAUGGAUGGCCUGGAAGAUAAGGAGAAGGUCCUGCUAUCCGAGUACACCUCGCUCCUGGAGGACUACAAGGACACCAAAAGGAAGCUGCUGGAUGUGGAGAAGAAGAACCAGGAGUGCCUCAAUGAGAUCAGGUCGCUGCGCAAUCUUAUCGGAGAGAAGGAGAAGGAGAAGGAGAGGGAGAGGGGCAGCAUCAGAGGAGGACACAGGAGGACACCCAGCCUUAGCCAUCAGAGGAAGCAGAGCCUUUCUUCCAUCUCUAAGCUCAUCAGGAUGGGCUCAAACAUGCAAGACGACCCUCCUGCUGCUGACCUUGACGACAUGAGGCUGCCGUCCAUCGCCGAGGUUGAGAACCCGUCGCCGCUGGAGGAGAAGUUCAGGCGCGACAUCGACACGCUGCUGGAGGAGAACCUCGAGUUCUGGAUGAAGUUCAGCUCCUCCAUGGGCCGGGUGCAGGAGUUCCAGAACAAGUACGACGACCUCAGGAGGGUCACGGCGGACGGCGCCGACGGCGAGAAGAAGCUCCGGGCGCUCAAGACGGAGCUGCAGGUGUGGUCGGAGCAGAACGCGAUGCUGCGGGGCGAGCUGCAGUGCAGGUUCGCGUCGCUCUGCGACAUCCAGGAGGAGAUCUCGACAGCCCUGGAGAUGGACACGGAGCAGGCGGAGGAGGCCGAGGAGGGGGCGCCGCGCUUCACCUCCUACAGCGCCGGCAAGUUCCAGGGGGAGGUGCUCAACAUGCAGCAGGAGAACAACCGGGUCUCCGACGAGCUGCAGAGCGGCCUCGACCACGUCAAGACGAUCCAGUUUGCCAUCGAGAAGAAGCUCAAUGAGGGCGUCAACCUCUCCUCCCCCGCACCGGCGGAGGAGGGGGAGGAGGAGGUGGUCGGGCCGGACGGGGUGCUGGCGCGGGUGCCGACCAAGGCCAAGGUGCCGCUGCAGAGCUUCCUGUUCCCGACCAAGCCCAAGAAGCCGUCGCUGUUCGCGCGCGUCACGCCGGCCGUGCUCCACAAGCAGCAGUUAGACAUGAAGUUAGACAUGAAGUUCCUCCCCAAGUUGCCAAGGUAG
rnacentral:rRNA from 1 species